rnacentral:lncRNA from 1 species
AAAGAAAGACAAUGUACUCACACAUACACGCAGAAAUGAUCUUUCUAAAUAUCGAUAUUUAAUUUACAUUAAGCAUCGAUGAUAUGACAUAUUAUUAAUUAGUGAAUAAAUUAAUAAUAGGUCUUGUGAAUUUAAUAGUUCAACAAAAUUCCAAUAAGAGUCGAAGGAAUUCUAUAUAUUCCAUCAUUUCACUAUUAAAAUCACCAUCCACAGUGUAAAAAAGAAGCAUCAAUAAUUGAAAAUACAUAAAGAGCCUCCUCACUAAAUCCAUGGUACAAUUUUAGCAUGAGUGAAACGAUAAAGACGCUGAGAGAUGGCGGUGCUGCUGCUGCUGAUGGCGGUGGUGGUGGCUGUGACUAGUGGUUUCUUUCUCAAUCCGCCACCGAAUAUGAAGAAAAUCAUCGACUGAACAUGGCAGUCUAAGAGGGCCUGUUGUGUGGUAGCCAUAUACCUCUCGAGCUUCAUCAAGAAGCCUUUGAAAUAGAGGAUGAUAUAAAUAUGAAAUUGGGAUUACAAAUCUUUGAAAAAUUCCUCCAUCUUCAUUAUCAUCUGCUAAUCCCACUUCCACUGCCACCCACCCUUUCUUCACCUUAACCUUCUUCUCCUCUUGCAUAUUGCAAGAAUAAAAGUACGUGUAUCGAGAGAGAGAGAGAGAAUUGAAGGGGUGGAGAGAGUAUGGGGAAUUGUCAAUAUAUAGGGGCUUAAAUCUGAAAUUAUUGCUUUA